rnacentral:rRNA from 1 species
UACAGAGGUCUCAAGCGUUGUUCGGAUUCAUUGGGCGUAAAGGGUGCGUAGGCGGCGCGGUAAGUCGGGGUGUGAAAUCUUGGAGCUUAACUCCGAAACUGCAUUCGAUACUGCCGUGCUUGAGGACUGGAGAGGAGACUGGAAUUUACGGUGUAGCGGUGAAAUGCGUAGAUAUCGUAAGGAAGACCAGUGGCGAAGGCGGGUCUCUGGACAGUUCCUGACGCUGAGGCACGAAGGCCCAGGGGAGCAAACGGG